UCCGCCUGCAGGAUAAAUCCUGGACUGAUCAUCUGCUGUUAAGCGAGUUUUCACAAAGAGGGGCGUCCAAAAGCAAGACUGACCUUUACCUGAUGUCCUGCAGAGCGAGUUGGAGAAUGAGCUUGCAAUGGAGCUAUUGACAGUCUCAAGUGCAAAGAGAGAGAAUGGAGAUGGAAGCAAGGAGGAGGUCAAAAGGAGGACCAGUCAGCAUGAUCAGCUCUUCAAAAAGAGGGUCAAAAUUGCUGAGAAGAUUCUCAAUCAAGAGGAUCUGUCAUAUAUAAAAAGAGCCAAUGCAAACUAUGUCAGCGACGAGGAAAGUGACGAGGACAAACCAUCUUAUUAUCAAGCCUCGCCAAAGUGGCGCUCCACUAGGCUAACCAGGGUGAUGCUGAAAUGCCAUAAAGCCUGGGAUGAAAACUGGAGGAGUGGAAUUGAGCCAAAAUUACGCACGAGACACUCAGCUGGCUUUACUGAAGGAAACCCACCACCAGUCAAGAGCUGCUAUCUGGCAGAAGAGAAAAAAAGGAUGCAUGUUUGUUUGUGGUUUUUGACUUAUUUAUUUAUUUUGUAAUAAAAUAUUUUUGAGUAAUA